rnacentral:rRNA from 1 species
GACGAACGCUGGCGGCGUGCUUAACACAUGCAAGUCGAACGGAAAGGCCCUGCUUUUGUGGGGUGCUCGAGUGGCGAACGGGUGAGUAACACGUGAGUAGCCUGCCCUUGACUUUGGGAUAACUUCAGGAAAAUGGGGCUAAUACCGGAUAGGAGCUAUUGCUGCAUGGUGGGGGUUGGAAAGUUCCGGCGGUUGGGGAUGGACUCGCGGCUUAUCAGCUUGUUGGUGGGGUAGUGGCUUACCAAGGCUUAGACGGGUAGCCGGCCUGAGAGGGUGACCGGCCACAUUAGGACUGAGAGACGGCCCAGACUCCUACGGUAGGCAGAAGGAGGGAAUAUUGCACAAUGGGCGGGAGCCUGAUGCAGCAGCGCCGCGUGCGGGAUGACGGCCUUCGGGUUGUAAACCGCUUUCGCCUGUGACGAAGCGUGAGUGACGGUAAUGAGUAAAGAAGCACCGGCUAACUACGUG